AGAAUGAACGUUGGCGGCGUGGAUUAGGCAUGCAAGUCGGACGGGCCGAAAGGCCAGUGGCGUAAGGGUGAGUAAGGCGACGGCAACCAUCCCCACGGUUGGGUAUAGCCGCGAGAAAUCGCGGGUAAUCCCCAGCGACGCACGGCGUCGGCAUCGACGCCCUGCCAAAGGCUCGCCGCCGUGGGACGGGCCGUCGUGGUAUUAGGUCGUUGGCGGGGUAACGGCCCACCAAGCCCGCGAUGCCUACCGGGUGUGCGAGCAUGGCCCGGCACACUGGGACUGAGACACGUCGCCAGACCUCCGUACGGGACGCUCGC
rnacentral:rRNA from 1 species